UGUGGCAAGACUGUUAGAAGGUCGUUUUUGGCAGGAGGACAGAAAAAGGAAGGAUGUAAAAUCAUGAUCUUGGUGUGGCCAUCCAUAAACAACCUCUUUCCCUUUCUGUCUUGAUUCUUUUGGAGAAACAGAGAGAAGUGGACGCCAAACAAGGUACAGAAACAUCUCAGCAACAAACAAGAGAAAUGGGAGGCACCUGAGAUAAAUAUCAAGUAUUGUUGUAAAGGGUCUGAAUACUUGGUUUUUGACUUACGCAUUGCCGCUUCUAAAAGUUUUCUUCACCAUAUAAAGAUGCAGAAGACAUCUUGAAUAUAUUCUGUUUUUCCUUGUUUAAGCCACAAAAACCACUGGUCAUGGACACGAUCUCCACUGUGUCCUGCUCACAGAGCUCACCCCAGGCUGUUGCUGCAAGCCCGCAGAUAUCAACCAAAAAACGGCAAGGCCCGCAACCACCAAAGCCUGUGAACCCAGCCUGCACUCCCUCUCCUCCUGUGAUAGUUCUCCAGCCGCUGCCACAGAGCUCACCCCAGUCUGUUGCUGCAAGCCCGCAGAUAUCAACCAAAAAACGGCAAGCCCCGCAAGCACCAAAGCCUGUGAACCCAGCUUGCACUCCCUCUCCUCCUGUGAUAGUUCUCCAGCCGCUGCCACAAUGCCUGGGCCCUCAUCCUCCUCCAUCUGCUGACCCCAACGUGCAGAAACAUGCCACAGAUAUCCUUAGAAAGAUGCUGGAGCAGGAGGAGGCAGAGCUACAGAACCUUCUGGAGGAACAGUCUCGAAACCCCUCCCCUUCACUAGAGAAGAGAAUAGAAAGUUCCAGACGAAGAGCCAAUCAAAUCAGAGUGAAGAUCCAGCAGGAUGUGGUGAGAUUUGUGCUUAAAGGGAUAGUUCACCCAAAAAUGUAAAUUCUGUCAUCAUUUACUCUCCCUCAAGUAGCUCCAAACCUGUAUAAAUUUCUUUGUUCUGCUGAACACAAAGAAAAAUAUUUGGAAGAAUGUCAGUAACCAAACAGAUCUCACCCCCCUUGACUAACUACCGUAGUAUUUUUUUUCCUACUAUGGUAAUGAGGGGCAAGAUCUGUUUGGUUACUGACAUUCUUCCAUAUAUCUUCCUUUGUGUUCAGCAGUCGAAAAGAAAUUAUGGUUUUUGAGGAAAAAAAAAAAAAAAAAAAAAAAAAAAAAAAAAGAAUUUUUUUUAAUACUUUUUAAUACUUUUUAACCACAAAUUCCACUAGCUCUGCGAUGCGCCACGCAUUAUGCAAUCAUGUUAGAAAGGUCACGCGUGACGUAGGCGGAAGUACCGAGCAAGUGUUUACAAAGCGAAUGUGCAAAGACUAAGUCAAACGCCCUUUACAAAAAAGGUAAAACAACAAUGUCGGACGAUUUUGAAGUUGGAGGAGAAAAUCAAAUAAGACUUCUGCCUACGUCACGAGUGACCUUUCCAACGUGAUUAUGUAAUGCGUGGUGCAGUGCAAGACGAGCAUUUGUGAUUAAAAAGUAUUUAACUUUUAAUUUUUUUUAGAAAAUGACAGAUUGUUUUGCUGGAUAAGAUCCUUAUUCCUCAUCUGGGAUCGUGUUGAGUCCUUUGUUUUCCUCAAAAACCUUCAUUUCUUUUUGACUGAAGAAAGAAAGACAUGAACAUCUUGGAUGACAUGGGGCUGAGUAAAUUAUCAGGAAAUUUUAAUUCUGAAGUCAACUAAUCCUUUAACUUAAUUAAUAAGUUAAUUAAUUAAUUAUGCACACCCUUAUGUCAAAGUGCCUGUCUUGGUGAGUAUUCAUGUAAAUACACCCAGUUAUGUCUUAAGACUUAAGUGGAGUAAACAGAAUAAGAGCACACGUGAAACAAAAUAUUGGAUCCGUGCAGCUCUUAAAGUGACAGCAGACUAAUAAACUUGCUUUAAUUUAAUUUUAAAUGAAAAA